UGCGUAGGCGGCUUUUUAAGUCGGAUGUGAAAUCCCUGAGCUUAACUUAGGAAUUGCAUUCGAUACUGGGAAGCUAGAGUAUGGGAGAGGAUGGUGGAAUUCCAGGUGUAGCGGUGAAAUGCGUAGAGAUCUGGAGGAAUACCGAUGGCGAAGGCAGCCAUCUGGCCUAAUACUGACGCUGAGGUACGAAAGCAUGGGGAGCAAACA
rnacentral:rRNA from 1 species